rnacentral:rRNA from 1 species
AUGAACGCUAGCUACAGGCUUAACACAUGCAAGUCGAGGGGCAUCAGGAAGAAAGCUUGCUUUCUUUGCUGGCGACCGGCGCACGGGUGAGUAACACGUAUCCAACCUGCCCUUUACUCGGGGAUAGCCUUUCGAAAGAAAGAUUAAUACCCGAUAGCAUAAUGAUUCCGCAUGGUUUCAUUAUUAAAGGAUUCCGGUAAAGGAUGGGGAUGCGUUCCAUUAGGUUGUUGGUGAGGUAACGGCCCACCAAGCCUUCGAUGGAUAGGGGUUCUGAGAGGAAGGUCCCCCACAUUGGAACUGAGACACGGUCCAAACUCCUACGGGAGGCAGCAGUGAGGAAUAUUGGUCAAUGGGCGCUAGCCUGAACCAGCCAAGUAGCGUGAAGGAUGAAGGCUCUAUGGGUCGUAAACUUCUUUUAUAUAAGAAUAAAGUGCAGUAUGUAUACUGUUUUGUAUGUAUUAUAUGAAUAAGGAUCGGCUAACUCCGUGCCAGCAGCCGCGGUAAUACGGAGGAUCCGAGCGUUAUCCGGAUUUAUUGGGUUUAAAGGGAGCGUAGGUGGACUGGUAAGUCAGUUGUGAAAGUUUGCGGCUCAACCGUAAAAUUGCAGUUGAUACUGUCAGUCUUGAGUACAGUAGAGGUGGGCGGAAUUCGUGGUGUAGCGGUGAAAUGCUUAGAUAUCACGAAGAACUCCGAUUGCGAAGGCAGCUCACUGGACUGCAACUGACACUGAUGCUCGAAAGUGUGGGUAUCAAACAGGAUUAGAUACCCUGGUAGUCCACACAGUAAACGAUGAAUACUCGCUGUUUGCGAUAUACAGUAAGCGGCCAAGCGAAAGCAUUAAGUAUUCCACCUGGGGAGUACGCCGGCAACGGUGAAACUCAAAGGAAUUGACGGGGGCCCGCACAAGCGGAGGAACAUGUGGUUUAAUUCGAUGAUACGCGAGGAACCUUACCCGGGCUUAAAUUGCAGUGGAAUGAUGUGGAAACAUGUCAGUGAGCAAUCACCGCUGUGAAGGUGCUGCAUGGUUGUCGUCAGCUCGUGCCGUGAGGUGUCGGCUUAAGUGCCAUAACGAGCGCAACCCUUAUCUUCAGUUACUAACAGGUUAUGCUGAGGACUCUGGAGAGACUGCCGUCGUAAGAUGUGAGGAAGGUGGGGAUGACGUCAAAUCAGCACGGCCCUUACGUCCGGGGCUACACACGUGUUACAAUGGGGGGUACAGAAGGCAGCUAGCGGGUGACCGUAUGCUAAUCCCGAAAGCCUCUCUCAGUUCGGAUCGAAGUCUGCAACCCGACUUCGUGAAGCUGGAUUCGCUAGUAAUCGCGCAUCAGCCACGGCGCGGUGAAUACGUUCCCGGGCCUUGUACACACCGCCCGUCAAGCCAUGGGAGCCGGGGGUACCUGAAGUACGUAACCGCAAGGAUCGUCCUAGGGUAAAACUGGUGACUGGGGCU